AUUGAACGCUGGCGGCAUGCCUUACACAUGCAAGUCGAACGGUAACAGGUCUUCGGAUGCUGACGAGUGGCGAACGGGUGAGUAAUACAUCGGAACGUGCCUAGUAGUGGGGGAUAACUACUCGAAAGAGUGGCUAAUACCGCAUGAGAUCUACGGACGAAAGCGGGGGAUCGCAAGACCUCGCGCAAUUGGAGCGGCCGAUAGCAGAUUAGGUAGUUGGUGGGGUAAAGGCCCACCAAGCCAACGAUCUGUAGCUGGUCUGAGAGGACGACCAGCCACACUGGGACUGAGACACGGCCCAGACUCCUACGGGAGGCAGCAGUGGGGAAUUUUGGACAAUGGACGCAAGUCUGAUCCAGCCAUGCCGCGUGCGGGAAGAAGGCCUUCGGGUUGUAAACCGCUUUUGUCAGGGAAGAAAAGGGCGACUCUAAUACAGUUGCCUCAUGACGGUACCUGAAGAAUAAGCACCGGCUAACUACGUGCCAGCAGCCGCCGCAG
rnacentral:rRNA from 1 species